GGCUGGUUCACCAGUGCCGAUGAAGUCCUCGAGGAGGAGUGGAACCUGCCCAACGGCGAUCACCUCCGGGUCGUCGCCCAGCCGCUUCCCGACGGGGGACUUAGGCUGAUCCUGGAGGAUCGUACCGAGCAGCUCCGUCUCGCAUCAGCCCGCGACACCUUGCUGCGGGUGCGGGCAGCCACAUUCGACAAUCUCUAUGAGGCAAUCAGCGUCUUCGCCAGCGACGGGCGCCUCUACCUGUGGAACCGGCGUUUCCGCGAGGACUGGGAGCUCGACGAGGCCUGGCUGACGACCCACCCGCGGGUCGAUGAACUGGUGCCGGCAAUGGCGCGCAAGCUCGUCAAUCCGACCACCGCCGCGCAGAUCCGCGGGAUGGUGCGGCAGACGACCAAUGAGCGUCAGUCGUCGACUGGCCGC
rnacentral:misc_RNA from 1 species